rnacentral:rRNA from 1 species
UACGGGGGGGGGCAAGCGUUGUUCGGAAUUACUGGGCGUAAAGGGCUCGUAGGUGGCCAACUAAGUCAUACGUGAAAUCCCUCGGCUUAACCGGGGAACUGCGUCUGAUACUGGAUGGCUUGAGGUUGGGAGAGGGAUGCGGAAUUCCAGGUGUAGCGGUGAAAUGCGUAGAUAUCUGGAGGAACACCGAGGUCGGCAGG